UUGUGCAACACGCCAUUCAAGAUGGUGCCUUAUAACGUCACGUACAUUGUAUACAGCUGAAUAUGAUCCCAAUGAAAAGACAUUUGAGAAACUCCUUAUCGCGAACAGAGGAGAGAUUGCAUGCAGGGUGAUUAAAACAUGCAAGAAGAUGGGCAUUAAAACUGUCGCUAUACACAGCGAUAUUGAUUCCAGUGCUUGCUACGGGAUCCUUCCUG